rnacentral:lncRNA from 1 species
CAAAAAGAAAAAAUACGAUAAAACUUGUAAAAAUGUCUAAAUUUGUCAAAUAAAAAAAAAUCCGUGAAACUUUAUGAAUGAUUUUGGCACAAAGACGUCAUGGCUAAACGUGAUGUCAUACAAAUGAAAACUUACAAAGUGGAGGUUAUUACGUUACCUGUACGCUUCAAAUUCGGAUAAAAUUACAUUAAAACGGCGAAUUCGAGGUAGGUGUUGUUUUAUUUUCGAUUAUAUAGUAGUAAUCGAACAUUUGUUGAUUCAUCAAUUCAAAAUGGCGAGUCCCUCUUUAGUUGGAUUUGACGGCAACUUUUAACCAAUG